rnacentral:tRNA from 1 species
GCGUUGGUGGUAUAGUGGUGAGAAUAGCUCCUUCCCAAGCAGUUGAUCCGGGUUCGAUUCCCGGCCAAUGCA